CAUGAGCUGGUGGGGUCCCUCAGCCUGGUCUGUGGGGAUUGGGCUGAAACUGGCUCUCUGACAUCUCCCAAGGGUUCCCAGAUUGCAAGAGUGUGCAGGCCAGGCAGAGGGACCCCACUGGUGCACA
rnacentral:pre_miRNA from 1 species